rnacentral:rRNA from 1 species
GACGAACGCUCGCGGCGUGCUUAACACAUGCAAGUCGAACGGAAAGGCCCUGCUUUUGUGGGGUGCUCGAGUGGCGAACGGGUGAGUAACACGUGAGUAACCUGCCCUUGACUUUGGGAUAACUUCAGGAAACUGGGGCUAAUACCGGAUAGGUGCUCAUGCUGCAGGGUGGGGGUUGGAACGUUUCGGCGGUUGGGGAUGGACUCGCGGCUUAUCAGCUUGUUGGUGGGGUAGUGGCUUACCAAGGCUUUGACGGGUAGCCGGCCUGGGAGGGUGACCGGCGACAUUGGGACUGAGCAACGGCCCAGACUCCUACGGGAGGCAGAAGGGGGGAAUAUUGCACAAUGGGCGGAAGCCUGAUGCAGCCACGCCGCGUGCGCGAUGAAGGCAUUCGGGUUGUAAACCGCUUUCGCCUGUGACGAAGCGGUAGUGACGGUAAUGGGUAAAGAAGCACCGGCUAAGUACGUG